UACGGGGGGGGCAAGCGUUGUUCGGAACUACUGGGCGUAAAGGGCUCGUAGGUGGCCAACUAAGUCAGACGUGAAAUCCCCAGGCUCAACUUGGGAACUGCGUCUGAUACUGGAUGGCUUGAAUUCGGGAGAGGGAUGCAGAAUUCCAGGUGUAGCGGUGAAAUGCGUAGAUAUCUGGAGGAAUACCGGUGGCGAAGGCGGCAUCCUGGACCGAGAUUGACACUGAUGAGCGAAAGCUAGGGGAGCAAACGGG
rnacentral:rRNA from 1 species